rnacentral:rRNA from 1 species
UACAGAGGUCCCAAGCGUUGUUCGGAUUCACUGGGCGUAAAGGGUGCGUAGGCGGUCGGGUAAGUCUGAUGUGAAAUCUCACAGCUUAACUGUGAAACUGCAUUGGAUACUAUCCGGCUCGAGGAAUGGAGGGGAGACUGGAAUACUUGGUGUAGCAGUGAAAUGCGUAGAUAUCAUUUGGAACGCCAAUGGUGAAAACAGGUAGCUGGGAGUGUGCUGACACUGAGACACGAAAGCCAGGGGAGCAAACGGG